GACGAACGCCGGCGGCGUGCUUAACACAUGCAAGUCGAACGGGCCUGUCUUCUUUUUUGGGGGUGGGUUGAGUGGCGAACGGGUGAGUAUCACGUGAGUAACCUGCCCUUCGGUCCUGGAUAACCGCUUGAAAGGGCGGCUAAUACGGGGUGGUCCGGUUGGUCCGCAUGGGCUGGUCGGGAUAGAUUCACUGUUUUUGGUGUUUCGGCGGGGGAUGGGCUCGCGGCCUAUCAGCUUGUUGGUGGGGUGAUGGCCUACCAAGGCGGUGACGGGUAGCCGGCCUGGGAGGGUGGGCGGCCACACUGGGACUGAGAUACGGCCCAGACUCCUGCGGGAGGCAGCAGUGGGGGGUAUUGCACAAUGGGCGGAAGCCUGAUGCAGCGACGUCGCGUGAGGGAUGGAGGCCUUCGGGUUGUGAACCUCUGUUUCCGGUGGUGAAGGCCCUGUCCGUGUGGUGGGGUUGACGGUAGCCGGGGAUGAAGCGCCGGCUAACUACGUG
rnacentral:rRNA from 1 species